rnacentral:rRNA from 1 species
GAUUGUACUAGAAGUCUGCAUGCUAACCGCAAGGAGACAGCGGCCCAAGGUAUGAUUCAUGAUUGGGGUGAAGUCGUAACAAGGUAGCCGUAGGUGAACCUGCAGAAGGAUCA